AAACUUGCCUGACAGGGGAGGCACUGAUAAUUUUAGAUGGUCCUUCCAGGGUGAGGCUUAUCCAUAACACUGCAGGGUGGGUUGACCACUGCAAUUUCCCCAAAUGUGGGAAACUCGACUGUAUCAUUUGUAGGACUGGGUGACUGCUUUCAUGCUAGCCCCCC